AAGGAGUAGGCCUGCUAUUCCAGGAGAUUUCCCUCAAGAUGGGUACUGCCUUGUUGUUCAUGUCAGCUCCUGAAAGCUGCAGUUUUGACAGGCAGGCUAAUGAGGUCAACACACAAAACAAAGAUCAGGUCUUUGUGGAGAGGAACCCACCCUAGCCUGGAAGGACAUGAUAAAAGACAAGAGAGAAGAAUCCCAGGACCUCAACCCACUGACAGACAGAUGGAGGAAGCUCAGCCAGACAAAUCCAAAUAAGUCCAUUCUUUUGAUGGAGAAACCUAGAGAUGGGGAGAAGUUAUGCAAUAGGAGAGUGGGCUGUGCCCCAGGACAGGCAGUCUACCGGUAGGCUUUGUUUGGUAAUAAAGUCUUGCUUGCUUGAA